GUUGACUUCGAAGGAGGAGAAGAAUGGGAACUUUGGGCGCGAGUUCGUCAAAUGCGAGAGCAAGCCGGAGGGGCAGAUCGUGAAGAAAUGCCACCAUUUCGAGUGGAUGGAUGAUUACAUCCAGAGGCUUCAAGGGUUGGGCUUGCUGGAUUCGAGGGGGAAUGCAAUCCGCGAGUUCAAUCUGCCCCAUGACAGUGCCGCUCCGGCAGCAGCAGCACAUCCGGAAUACCCGAUGGUGGUAGAUGUCGAACUGAAGACGGAAUUGAAGAAGAUGAACAAGAACUUCAAGCAGCUGAUUGAGUUGAAGAAGCAAUCCAAUCUGAUAGCUUUAGGAAUACUUGCUCUAGGAAUUUUUUACUUGAUGGCCAUCUCUCGUUAGAGAUGUUUGUCUACUGUUGUUGCCACUGUUUAGCAAUCCAAGUCUGUUUAUCUCAAAUGCAACUCUGUUUAGUGCAACUGUCGAUCUCUGAAUGUAUGCAGUUUACUGUUAAGUUUCGACACUUUCAGUUUCGGCAGAAGACAACUACCAGUUCAGUGAUAGGAUUAUUUUGUUAGCUAAUAACCUUGAGUGUUGGAUCAUACCCUAGCUCGUCAGAUGACAGUAAGCAGUACUUGAGCAGCACAAGGGAUAUACAUCAAGUUCAUCUCUUCUCUCUUGCACUUGCCAAACUUUUGUCCUCGAGUUCGUCAGUUCUGCUAGAAAAAAAACCUAGUUCGCGGGCCCAAAGAGAAUCAAGCUGCAAUAGGCCCACAAAGGAUAAAUGAGGCCCAGAAACAAGCGAUGUUUCUUUUUUGUUUAGGAACGAUUGCUUUGUUC